rnacentral:rRNA from 1 species
GACGAACGCUGGCGGCGUGCCUAAUACAUGCAAGUGGGACGCAAGGGAACACACUGUGCUUGCACACCGUGUUUUCUUGAGUCGCGAACGGGUGAGUAACGCGUAGGUAACCUGCCUAUUAGCGGGGGAUAACUAUUGGAAACGAUAGCUAAUACCGCAUAAUAUUAAUUAUUGCAUGAUAAUUGAUUGAAAGAUGCAAGCGCAUCACUAGUAGAUGGACCUGCGUUGUAUUAGCUAGUUGGUAAGGUAAGAGCUUACCAAGGCGACGAUACAUAGCCGACCUGAGAGGGUGAUCGGCCACACUGGGACUGAGACACGGCCCAGACUCCUACGGGAGGCAGCAGUAGGGAAUCUUCGGCAAUGGACGAAAGUCUGACCGAGCAACGCCGCGUGAGUGAAGAAGGUUUUCGGAUCGUAAAGCUCUGUUGUAAGUCAAGAACGUGUGUGAGAGUGGAAAGUUCACACAGUGA